UACGUAGGGGGCAAGCGUUGUCCGGAAUCAUUGGGCGUAAAGCGCGCGCAGGCGGUCACGCAGGUCAUCUGUGAAAGCACUCGGCUCAACCGGGAUGUUGCGGGUGAAACCGCGUGACUUGAGGGUGGGAGAGGUCGGUGGAAUUCCCGGUGUAGUGGUGAAAUGCGCAGAUAUCAGGAGGAACACCUAUGGCGAAGGCAGCUCUCUGGGACGGUACUGACGCUGAGACGCGAAAGCGUGGGGAGCAAACAGG
rnacentral:rRNA from 1 species